GCCAUUAGUAAAUGCGCCACCCGAGACGCUGGGCCCGCCCAAAGGCUGACCUCCUGCCCGCUCCUUCCGGUCGUACUCAGGGCCCGACCCCAGAGUCCAGGCAUCGACCCUGUUACCCCGCGAGCCUGGACACCUCUCUCCUGUCCGAAUUACGAUGGCCCGAGGCGUUUGGCAGAUUCCGGAGCCCGGAAUGCCCCGCUGCCCCGGCAGGGCCUGCGACCUUCCCCUGGCUUACCGAAAGAGUGGAGGUUCUGGAUAGCGGACAUACGAUACGAUUCCUUUUCCUCGGUGGAAACGGCCUGCGGAAGGCGGCUGCGGGAGAAGGCGGGCGGGGGGGACGGAGCGUCGGGAAGCGAGGGGGCUCGAGGGGGAGGCUGCUGAGUCCUCGGCGGCGGCUCAGUGACUGGGGCGGAGGGGCGGCGCCUGUAUUCACUUAUAUAGCCGCCCCUGUGACGCCAGCGCGCUGCCCUCACGUCCCGGCCCCACCCACGGCGUCGUGCUCCCAAGCGUCUCGGAGCCACCGCUUCCAAUUGGUCCGGGGACGGGGACACGGUGCGGCGCCUGCGCAGGAACUUGACUGUGGGAGGGCGUCCCGAUGACUCCGGGAGAAGUGGGAGGGGGAGAGAGACCUCGGUUUGUCUGGGCGCCUGCGCCGUGCGGGUGGAAGUGUCUGGUCUGCGGAGAAACUGGCUGAAGUUUCGAGUGCGCCUGCGCACUAUGUCCUUUGGCACGCUUUGCCUUCCUGACCCUGUUGCAGCCCUUCCUGCUCUGAUGGGUUUUAGUCGGGUUAGAUUGGCACUCCCUGGAGGGGUCUUGAUACUGAGCCUCCCAAAUGCGACGGUUAGAUUAAUCCUCCUAAGGAAUGUGCCCAGGUCACUAGUACCAGUUCAAGGGGUAGUAAGUGGUUCUUCACCAGCACCCCGGCCCCCGUUCCCCGCCCACCACAGGUCAGGCACCAGAGGGUGCCCAUUGUGUCAUACAGUGUCAUACAAGCUGUGUGGAGUGGAGUCUUCCCAGAGCUUGGAUUAUAUAAAGGAUAACCAUGGCUGUAGAUCAUGGGCAUCCCAGUCACACAGUCUGAAAAGUCACACAGUUUGAAAAGUCGAGGACCCAGACUGCCAACCUGGGGACCUCUCCUCUCAGGGAUAAGGCUCUGCUGGAAAGGGUUUGGGGGGAGCGUGACUGAGUCAGAGCUGUCCUUCCCAGUGUGCACACAAUAUUUUGUAUCAUAAAAUUUGAAAAUCAUGAUGUGGUUUUUAUGGUUUAAAUAUGAGAUGUCCCCCAAAAGCUCAUGUG